rnacentral:lncRNA from 1 species
UGUCUGUCCCAGAGCUGCCCCUAAGCCUGACCUCUGAGGGGCCUUGCAGGGAACCCAGCAGCCAGGUGGACUUUUCCAGCUCUGGAUGAAUGUGAACAGGGCCAUGCCUGGGGCCGAGUCAUCGCUUGCUCACCGACCUUCGGGAUCCUCCACCUGAGGGCCAGAAUGCUCUCCGGUGCUCGAGCCCUGUUAGGGCUGGUGUCCAUCUCCACCACUCUGCUCCUCUGGCAAGACUGGAACUCUGCCCGUCCCUCCUGCCCUGGCGGCUGCCUUCUGUGAGCCCCGUCUGUGCUCAAGGCCACCCGACCCUUUGUGUGACUGGCCCGCCCGUGCUACCGCAGGUGUCUUUUCAGCCACCUGGUUCCACACUACAAAGACGCAGAGGACAACCGACCACCAGGCCACGGUACUGAGUCCCGCUGCUCCCGGCACAGAGCCCUAGGUGGUCGGCACAGGUGCUGCUGCCUCCCGGGCACCUGCCCUUCUGGCUGCUGUCUGGUGUCCCCUCCAGCCUCAUUCAGAAUGAGCCAGCAUUUGCACGGUGCCCGGCUGUGUCCUGCCAGCCUUCCCUCCACCAGGACACCCUGGAACCUUGUCCUCAUUGCUGACUGUGUGCCCCUGGACUCCCGCCCUGAGCUCACAGCGUGUCCUUCAGCCACCGUCUCUGAAAAUCCACGGUCUGAUAACUCGAUGACUCUCACAGCAAUCCCAGCCCUUGUUUCACGGUGGCAGAGCCAGCUGUCGCUCUCCCCACCAGUGCUAGGACAGCAGGACAGAGCUGAGACCACUGCAGCCAGGAAGCAACGUGCCAGUAGCUGGGUCCACGGGUCUCAGCUUCCGCACAGACUCAGGCCUGGUGCUCAUCGUUCCACCCUGCCUCUCACUUGGCCAGAGCACGAAAUUCGUAAAGUGUCCCAGAGAACACGUGGCUCUGUCGGGGGCCACAUCCUGCGGUGAAGUGAAUCCAAUGUCUCAGGCCCUUCCCAGGCUGGCUUCCUCUUCUACCUGUCUCUCUGACUCCUGCCAGCCCCAUCGAGCAUUCUUGAGACACAAGUCACCUUCCUCUGUCCUAGCCCAGCUGCUGGGUGCUCCCUGCACCUCCCUCUGCGUGUCCCCUGCCGCCCAGGGCUGGUGCUGCUCCUGUGUCCCCUUCUGAGACAGCACUUGCUGAGCACUGACCGCCCCGCUGCCCACGCCACCCACAGAACUGACCCUGCUCUCAGACUGCCUUGGUUUGAGUGUGUCCUCUGCACUUGCUGCGGCUUGUUUCUGGCACCUGGCAGCUGGUGCACAUCCAGCAUUUGUUGAAUAAGUGAGAAAUGGCAAAGGAGGGCAGGCAUUCCUCCCCCCGGCCCUGUGCUACUCCAGCUGUGGGAUUUCCCAAGUCUGCUGAGCACCACCCCUGCCGCCACUGUCCUGGGCACUGGAAAAUGGCUGGGCAUAGGGCAAAGGUCUG